CAGUCGCCGCGGGAAUACGUAGGUGGCAAGCGUUGUCCGGAAUUAUUGGGCGUAAAGGGCUCGCAGGCGGUUUCUUAAGUCUGAUGUGAAAGCCCCCGGCUCAACCGGGGAGGGUCAUUGGAAACUGGGAAACCUGAGUGCAGAAGAGGAGAGUGGAAUUCCACGUGUAGCGGUGAAAUGCGUAGAGAUGUGGAGGAACACCAGUGGCGAAGGCGACUCUCUGGUCUGUAACUGACGCUGAGGAGCGAAAGCGUGGGGAGCGAACAGGAUUAGAUACCCCAGUAGUCCCUGUCUCUUAUAC
rnacentral:rRNA from 1 species